GACGAACGCUGGCGGCGUGCUUAACACAUGCAAGUCGUACGGUAAGGCCCUUUCGGGGGUACACGAGUGGCGAACGGGUGAGUAACACGUGAGUAACCUGCCCACAACUUUGGGAUAACGCUAGGAAACUGGUGCUAAUACUGGAUAUGUGCUCCUGCUGCAUGGUGGGGGUUGGAAAGCUCCGGCGGUUGUGGAUGGACUCGCGGCCUAUCAGCUUGUUGGUGGGGUAGUGGCCUACCAAGGCGGCGACGGGUAGCCGGCCUGAGAGGGUGACCGGCCACAUUGGGACUGAGAUACGGCCCAGACUCCUACGGGUGGCAGCAGUGGGGAAUAUUGCACAAUGGGCGCCAGCCUGAUGCAGCAACGCCGCGGGCGGGAUGACGGCCUUCGGGUUGUAAACCGCUUUCAGCAGGGACGAAGCUUUUUGUGACGGUACCUGCAGAAGAAGCACCGGCUAACUACGUG
rnacentral:rRNA from 1 species